UAGAGCAGGCCACGUGUACCUGCAUGCUGGAUGAACUGAAAAGUAAAAGCUUGCUGAAACACAUCGCUAAAGAUUGUACGUCCAGGGGUGCCUACAGAGUGAAGGGCAUUUGAAAAAUAGUUGAUGACUUGAGAAGACAGAAAACAUCGCAAAGAAAGGUUUGAGAGUAUAUUUAUAGUAAUGGCAGCAGCUCAGUUGGCUGCUCUGAAGCAAGAGCCCCCCGACCUGUCUGAGCCCGGCCCCAGCUCUGAUUACCUAGUGUUAGAGGAGAAGAUCCUAGCGUUGUGCGCUGAACACCCAAAGGGGAUCACUGAUGAGAUGCUCGCCAACGAUCAACCUAACGUACACACUGAGCUGAGGAUGAAGGCACUACAGCGAUUACUCUCACAGGCAUGUAGUGAGUGUCCACUUUCCUACUCCCCUAAUUUAGUGGGUAAGGUGGACCUCUUAAAGCAGGGCACUACUCUGAUGUACAGAGCAAGGUCCUCCUCUAGCCAAAGCAAGACGAAAGGUUUCGAAAAAGAAGAACGACUUGUGUAUCAGAUCAUCGAAGACUCUAGUAACAAGGGGAUCUGGGUUCGAGAUAUUCGUAUCAAGUGCAACCUACUGCAGACUCAACUCAUGAGAAUACUCCGUAGCCUGGAGAGUCGAAAGCUUAUCAAAUCAGUCAAGUCGGUCCAAGCCAGCAAGCGCAAGGUGUACAUGCUGUACGAACUCUCACCAGACGAGUCUGUCACUGGUGGAGCGUGGUACAGCGAUCAAGACUUUGAAAGUGAAUUCGUGAAGGUGCUGAAUCAGCAAUGUCACAAGUUCCUCAAGCAAAAGGCGUUCAAGGCUCAGUCGGACCACAAGGACCCAAUCUCACGCAAGAGUGCAUCGUAUUCCACUACCGCAGAGGUGUGCAAGUUCAUCACUGAGCUGGGCAUCAGCAAGGUGAGCCUAACCACAGGCAACAUUGAGACCAUUCUCAACACUCUACUCUACGAUGGCCUGGCAGAGUUCACGCUCGUGUCUUCAGGGCAAGAAGGGGAGGGGCUGCAGAGGAUCUAUCGUGCCGUCAAUCCCCUCAUCGCAAACACGGGGUACAGUAGAGUUCCCUGUGGAGUGUGUCCAGUCAUCACUCAGUGCUGUGUGGGUGGAGCCAUCUCCCCGUCCAAGUGUGCGUACAUGAAGGACUGGUUGAUUUUCUGAUAUUGUCAAUUCAUAUACUCUCUCCUCUUCCUUGCUACAAUCACAUGCUGGUGUGUAGCAGCUAUGAUUUGCUGGUGUUAACUCUUGUGCAGUGUGCCUACCAUAUGCCUGGGGGUAAGGUGUAAAACUGAGUAAAGCAUUCCUGAGCAGCUGUUCUGAUCAGAGACUAGAAAUGUGACCUUUAUCUGUUUUACUGUGUAGCCAGACAUGUGUGACUGUUCAUUUACACAUCAGCUGUUUCCAAAGAAGCCAUCACUGUUGCUCUUGGUUAGCCUAGAGGCAAUCUCCUCACCAAUCUACUAUGUCAUUUCUAUGGAAGGGAAUGUCAGGAGAGACCCCUUGAUGCAAAAGUGCUGUUGGAGGUGUGCUCACUCCAGAAUUCGUCGAACACUAGAAUGAACUCAAUUUUAACUGGACAUUGCAUUUGAUUUUUAAUUUAUACUCUACAUAUAAAUUGACACUGUCACAAAUUGCGUUAACAAAGUUUUUGUUAAUAUAAAUAA